AGAGGAGGUGAAAACAAAGAUGGCGGCGUGCUCCACCUUCCAGCCUCCGUUCAGUCAGGAGAAAGUGGAGUUUUUGUUGGAGACGGCAAAAGAGAACGUGAAGAGAAACAAAGAAACUCUGCUGAGAGAGAUCAAGAAGGCGGCUGAACGCAGACGCAGCAGGAGGUCUAAAGAAGUCCGGCACCUGAACCUGAAGACGUUUACGACACGCAGACACUGAGAACAUUUCAUUUCAUCCACAGCCCUCCAUCACUCAGCAUGCAGUACCCUGAGUGGAACACUAGAGGGCGGUAUGUGUUCACAGCUGGUCCCAUGGAGGAGGGGUUUCUGAGUUUCUGCUCCUUUAAUGUUUUAUUUUCUGAAGACCAGGAUGUGAAUCACAUGUUUGUUGAUCUAAUAAAGGUUCAGACUGUU